rnacentral:rRNA from 1 species
UACGUAGGGAGCGAGCGUUGUCCGGAUUCAUUGGGCGUAAAGAGCUCGUAGGCGGCUUGAUAAGUCGGAUGUGAAACCUCCAGGCUCAACCUGGAGUCGCCAUCCGAUACUGUCAUGGCUAGAGUCCGGUAGGGGCCCACGGAAUUCCUGGUGUAGCGGUGAAAUGCGCAGAUAUCAGGAGGAACACCGGUGGCGAAGGCGGUGGGCUGGGCCGGCACUGACGCCGAGGAGCGAAAGCGUGGGGAGCGAACAGG